UUAAGGAUUUUUUUUUCCCAUCCUUUAACGGUACUCAAAUUGCGAUCUUGAGAUUUAAGAUUUUAUUCUCAUUCCUAAACGGUAUUCAAAUUGUAGCCCUGAGAUUUAGAAUUUUAUUCUCGUCCCUCAACAGUACUCAAAUUGUAGCCCUGAGAUUUAGGAUUUUAUUCAUCGCUCAACUGUACUCAAAUUGCAACCGUGAGAUGAGAGCAAAUGGCCGUUAUUUCUCUAUUUUACCGUUAGAAAAAAGCACGAUUUCGCUUCUAUAUAUGGCAGUUUAUCUGAGAAGCAGGAGCAGAUUGUUUCUUUUCUAAUUUUUGUUUUCGUUUUUAUGGCAUGGCCAUGCCUCCUAUUUCUUUUAUUCGUUUUGUGUGCUUGGAUUUUUUCUUUUUCAAUUUUCAUGGUCUGUGGAUGGUGAUUUUUGAAUGAGGCACGGAGGAGGGUAACAAUGAGGAGAAGUAUACAUCCAAGCGAGUUGCAGAGAAGAAAAUAUUGCAUGAUAUAGCUUGAAGAAAGUAUUGUAAGUUGAGCAUCUAAACUGCACUUUUCUCUGAGUUUCGUCCUUCUUUGUAUGGUUUCUUUCUUCAUAUUCAUAUAUAGAAGAUUGGAAGAAUUUUUUAUUUACUUGAUUUCAAUAAUUUGCUUGACUCUGUUUUUUAUUGUCCUGUUCACAUUGUGCAUAUUUCUUUAUGGGCUCUUUGUGUUUGUUAUGUUUGUGUCCACAUUGAUCUGUUAUUGAAUGUUCUUAUUCAUUCAUUUGAUUGUAGGCAUGAUAUAGCUUGAAAUGAUAAUUCUCACUUUGCUUCACUGUUUUCUUCAUUUUGACCCCAGGCUAACACUGUCAAUUGCUUUGGCGUGUACUCGUCGUUUGGUUUGGCUUUUUUAUAUUUAUGCUCAAAGUUGCUUUGGACCAAGAUGAUUCACUUGGUCAUAUAUAGAGCUUAUAAAUAGGAAUUAUAAAGUUUCUUGUGUCCAAGGCUCGUUGCGGAAUUCUCUUUCAGACCCAAGAUGUUUUAUCAUUGUAAAACAAACAGAAAUUAAGCUUAAGAUAAUGACGAAAUAGGAACAAAAUUGGAUCAGAUAGAUAAGUUACCCAUAAGGCUCCUCCCCACCAUGCUUCAGAGUGUUGCCAAUGCCCUUGUAGAGAACACGAUUUGAAAGCUUAAAUAAUUCAAUACCAAACAUUUUUGCCAAACUGUCAUAAAGUUGUUCAUAACUUCAUAUGUACUGAACUUCUUCAGUCUCACUAAAGACUUUGCAUUGGACAAUUGUAUCCACUGAUAGCUUUCCUCCCAUGUUCUUCUUCAAGCUUAGGAAAGCUGAUUGAUCUUUGAAACUCUGUAAAGCUCUAAUAUGGUUGGUGCCAACAUCACUGCAGCUUUCACCGUGCUGAGACCUUAAACAUUUUCAAUCCAUCUGUCCUUUCCCUGACUGGUCCCUGAAACGUAUCUAUUUCUUGGUUACCAUCACUUAGAUGUUGCUUGUAAGCCUAAGUGAACCUGUGUCUUUGAAGCUCGGAAAGCCUAGCCCAUCUGGAGAGUUAUUUCCAUCUUGCUGCUGCUUUUGGGAUUUUGGUGACUGUACCGUAUGAAUAGGCUUCCCUAACAGCAGAAAGAAUGUGGUCUUAGGGGUUGAGCUACCAGUAUACUUAUUACCUUUUUUCUCACUUUUUGAUGAAUUCCCCAUGGUCAGUGAACAAGAGAGACCGUUCCGGACCUUUGAUUAUUCAAUAGAAAAGCUCCCUAUACUGAGAUCUGUGCAAACAAGAGCCCUAGCCCCUGGAUCGUGGUGGUGCAGGUUAUUGGAUUUUGUUUUGACGUAUGUCUGAGAAACCACUUCCGUAAAUAUUGUCAUGCCUGGCUCCCUGCUUGCCUGCAGUACAUUGUUUGAAAGACUCUGCCAUUAGUUGAUUUGCCCUAGCACAUCAUUGGUGAGAGUGGCCAUUUGGAGUCUCAUGAUUCCUCCUUGGCCCUCAACAUGAAACUCAAGAGGCUGUGUAACUCGGAGCUUCUUUUUAAGGAGCAUAAAAGGUGUCAUUUGGAUGGUAGGGAUGUUGGAAACAACUUCUACCAACCAAGGACUAACUCGUUUCACAUUUUUUAACAAAUCAAGCUCAUCCCAUCCCACCUGUUUCACAAACAUCCAAGCUAUGAGAACGUACAAGUAUCAAAAAGUAGAGCUCAGAACUUCCAAUUUGUUCUGGGUCAACACUUCCCAUUUCUACUAUUUUAAUCUAAAUUCGUAGGGAAGCCAAAAAAAAAUAUAAUAGAUUCUAAAAAUGAUGAUUUUCGGCAGUCAAUUAUUCAGCACACAAGUUCAAAUUUCCAUAAUAUCUAUUCCAGGCAUGUGACUUGAUAAAUAAAACCUACAGCCAACAUUACUCCAGAUACUUGUUAAAUAACUUGUAUUUGUUUACAAUUACUUGUGUCAUGCUUACUUUAGGUCAAAAAUACGCUGAGAAAAAUAAAUCAGAAGAUCUUAGGGCUCAUAAAAAACUUUCCAGACACUCUCAUAAGUUAUAAGAAAUAAUUUUAUAUGUAACUUAAGUCAAUUCUGAAUAUAGUGUGCUUGUUGGGUUUGCAUUAUUGUCGCUCUUUUUGCCAAAGCCUGACUCAAUUGUUGGUGCUUCAGCUUGCGAAGUUUUCAACAAUUUCAAUUAAUACCUCAACCCUUGCAACAAUCUACUUUUUAAAAUAAGUUACUUGCCUGCAUCUUUGAAGAAAAAGAGAAGGUUAGUGGAGCUAGAGCCUGCAUCUUUGAAGAAAAAGAGAAGGUUAGUGGAGCUAGACCCUACUACUUCAUUUCAUAGAGAGUUCAUGUGUAUAAAAGAGUUAUGCGUUUGGAGGUCAUCCUGAGAAAGAAAAUAAAUGAGACAUAAUUGGCCUUUUUGUAUAUAAAUUCAUAAAAUAUCAGCCCAGGAGAAGUUGUAAAUUAUUGGGGUCAAAAGGAUCUCAAAUUUGACUAUUUUUAAGAAGAAAGGAUGGGAUCGGAUCUUUUGGAAAUACAUUGCAACCUGCUAUUGGCAUAAGUUCAAAGUGCAAUCACAAAUGCCAAAAAACUAUAAUGUAUGCUUUUUAUUGACCAAUGUAACCAUUUAGAGCCAGCAGCCAGCUUUGAGAAACAAAGCAUAUUGGACAUCAUCAGGCUCAUUUUUACAGAAGAGUAUCAUGGGUAAAUUUCAUAAGCAGAACAUUGUUAACCUAUCUGAACAUGACAAGCAUCCAGAAGCUGAGAGGCAUCAAAAUAGGCACUGUUAAUUAAGAAUUUAAAUUUUGGGUUUAAAAACAGUUAAGACAUUGAGUAUUAAAGAGAGAGCCAAAUUAAGUCUGUUGGCAACACAGAUGUCAUCCAAUGUAAGGAUAUAUUUACAUCAAAAUUGUGAGGAUGAUAGAGAGCUCUACCUAUUGAGCAUCUGACUCUGUCCGAGGAUGUGUAAAAUUAGACAUAAUGUUUUAGAGAGAAUAUUGAGCAGCACAAAAUUUAGACAUAGCUGACUACAGUAAGUCGUGUGUGUUGGCUUGUAGUGGAUCUUUGGCUUGCACACUGAUAAUGUUAAACCCAUGUGAUAGAUCCCAUUGAUUUCAAUCCUCAUCAUUCUGGAUUCCUAAGCCUCAGUAAACCCUGAAUUACUCAGACUCACAUUGGCUAUCCAAAUGUCAUAUUUUAGGAAAAAAUUGAGAAUCUCACUGCCAAACUAAGAUUUCCAUGUUUUCUAUUUGAAUUAUAAAUUGAAGUCCUUAAGUCUAAAGUCAUAAUAAAACCUAUAGACUGAUAAGUUUAUUUAUAGUUAGAGUCAGCAUUUAUCACUAGAUUUAAAGUCUCUGUAAGACACAAUAUAUAAGGAUGUUCACAUACAGAUUAUGAUGUUAUCAUGUUAUCCAUGGAAUUAAAAACUUGCAUACAUUCAGUUUAGGGGCUUGCAUCUGGAUCCUUGACUGAUAAUAAACUACAAAACUAAGAUUUUAUAGAGUCUGCCUCACCGCCUAACAUAACUCUCAGGAUAUCAAAUUCACAUACAGGACGUGUAUCCAUGGAUUUUAAGUGUUUAUUAAGUUUUAAUUAUUUCACUAUUUCCAGUCUGAAUUCUAAAGCAUGCAAUAACUUCGAAUUGAUUCUCACACUCUCAUUUUAAUUUCAAAACAACAAUAUUAUGUCAGAAGUAGGAUCCUGAAUGCAUUCCACAUUACCAAUGUCAAUUUUAUAUUGUUUGUGGUUCAAUUUGGUGUUGUUAUUUGUAGGUUUUUAUGAUUUGCAAAUCAAUCUCAGGUUAAUUUGGGUUUUUGUAAAUUUGAAUAGUUUGAGUUUAUGAGCACAUAAGGUUUUGGUAAUGUACUUAUUUUCACACAGUUUUUAACAUUGAUUUUAACCAUUCCAAGCAUGAUUUCAAAAAUAAUGUACACUUCUUAGAAUGAAAAAGUAUUGUAGAAUUAAUUUCAAGAUUUAUCUAGUUUUAGAGGAUUUAUUGUUCAUUUAGGACCUACACAAGCAUCUCAAGACUAUGAAUUAUGCUUCAGCUUUUGAACAAACCACUUCAUUUCACUAUGAGAAAGAUAUCAAUCGUCAAAGUAAUCCAUAAUGUUUCUUGUAAAAUGUUCUCCUAAAAUUUACAGUUAGUCACAUUUAAAAUGCUCAAAAAUAAUUUUUUGUCAUUCAACUACUAUUGCAUGUUGCAACUAUGUGUUUGCUAUGGAAACACGGAAAAAAUUCCUUUGGCUUGCCAGCGAUAUGCCAGAGACUGACUCUAUAAAGCAAAUUAAACUAUAUCAACCUUUAUCUAGAUCUGGAGUUGAAUACAGUCAUGGGACUUGCAUGAAAUAUUUGCCUUUUCUUUAUCUAAUUUUCAUCAAUGCUUGACCUUAAUCUUACUUCUUUCUUCAUAUUAUGGGAAAAUAACUAGAACAUAGACACAUUUCUUACUUCUUGCUUUACUUGUCUCCAUAAACAAGGAGUGAAAGAUCAUUUUCUUUGUUUAGAUAGCUAAACACCAUUGGUAUUUUAAAGAUUGCAGAGGGGUUUCUUCAUUAGCAUUCUUCAUAAGAGAUUAUGGUUUAUUUUUUUGUUUGCUCAAGGUGCUGGAAUUGUUUAUUUUUAAUUCUUGGUCUAUGUGAAUUCAAGAAGUCUUCCUGAGUUUGCUCUGUGCACUACUUGUAUUUUGCUUGCCUAUGUGAUGUUUUGUUCACAUUUUGCAUGUUCCUUUUUGGGCUCUUUGUGUUUAUUGGUCCAUUAUUGAAUGUUCUCUUGAUUCAUGUGAGUUUUAUUUUCUUGUUUUCUCAGGGUACAUAUUGUAGGUUGAGCAUCUAAUUGAGCAUAUAAACUGCGCUUUAUUACUCAAUCUAAAAUACACUUUUUUCUCAUAGUUUUGUCCUUCCCUGCAUGUUUGUGUUCCUUAAUAUCUAUAACUAGAAGAUCGGAAGUUCAAUGUUCUGCUUGACUCUGUUAUGUCGGGUUUUCACAUUGUGCUCUUUGUGUUUAUGUCGGUUUUCACAUUAAAUGUUUGUAUUAAUUCAUGUAAAUGUAGGUACGAUAUAACUAGCAGAUGGGAAAGCUUUAUUUACUUGAGUUCAAUGUUCUGCUUGACUCUGUUAUGUCGGUUUUCCACAUUGUGCUCUUUGUGUUCAUGUCGGUUUUCACAUUAAAAUUUUAAAUGUUUGUAUUAAUUCAUGUAAAUGAAAGCACGAUAUAGCUCGAAAUGAUCAUUUUUACUUUGCUUGAAGACUCCCCUAUUCGCUGGUGUCUUCACUUUGACCCCAAGCUAACAUUAUGUUUAUUGAUUUGGCAUGUACUCCUUGUUUGGUCAUGCCCAGAGUUGGUUUGGACAGAACUGACUCACUUGCUCAUACCCUGCCUUAAAUGCCUUGCUUGCAUACAUAGAGCUUCUAUAGACUAACUUUGUAAAGCGUUAAUCACCAUGUCCAGUAUUGCAGCCAACUCAAACAUCAUUCGCUAAUUCACACAUUGAUAAUAAAGCUCAUAUUGAUUUGAUUAACUUCACAACUUAAACAAAUUGAACUAUCAAAACCAAUAAAUCUAUUUCUGAAAUUUUCAUACAUAAACAACUCUUCCUGUCGAUUACAUGCUACCACUACAAGUUUAUGGAAUUUUAAAGUUUGUUUUCCCUUUCUUGACACAUCCUCUACAUUGGAAUUCCCUUCCUUGAAUUCUAAUUAUUGGAUGAUGUAUUUAAAUCUGCAACAUAUAAUCUGAAACGACUACUCCACAUAAUGCUCUGCUCUUGUUUUCAAAAAUCCUCUACAUUGGAAUUCCCUUCCUUGAAUUCUUUGCUUAUAACUGCUGACUCGAACUUUCUUUCCUCUGCUCACCGCACGUACUCCCUUCCUGUGCAUUUCUCACUCUCAGUGUUUUUAAUCUCCGACUUAUACUUCAGCGUGGUCCUCUCUCCUUCCAAAAUCUGCAUCUCUUGUUUUUAAAACAAAUUAGCUCUGCUGCUGCGUACACUUCCUUACCCAUUCCUCUCCAUUUUCUUUAGCUUUUAUCCGCAAUUAAGAUUUUUCAUUUACUUUGCAGAGUCUCUCAUAUCACCUGCACACUCCCUCUUAUUUGUUUUGAUGCACUUUCUCCUUUCCUCUGCACUCACGCGGGACUCUUCUCCCCUCACAUGCUAUGCGGUCAGCCUUCUAUCCCAUCUAGAAAAGAGCUAUUGUGUGUGUCUUGUCAUCUAUUUUUAUAUGAUUAAAAUGUGAGUGGCAUCUAAAAUGAUAAAGAGUAAUCUGUAUUGAAAAUGACACUUUCCACAGCAUUUUUAGGGAUGGCAGGGAACAUGUUUCAGGAUGGCAAUCCAAAAAACCAUUUCUUAAGGGUGGUGAGGGACAUUUAUAUAUAUAUAAAGACACUCAAAUUUUUACAAGUUAAUAGACAGAAAUAUAAGAAGACACUGUUAGAAUGAUGUGGGGUGAUGUCUACAGAAACCUGCACAGCAAAAAAUUUGUAAGUAUUUCUCACUAAUUUUUACAAGUUAAUAGACAGAAAUAUAAGAAGACACUGUUAGAAUGAUGUGGGGUGAUAUCUACAGAAACUUGCACACCAAAAAAUUUGUCACUGAUUAUAAUUAUUCUAAUGCCAUAUCAAAAAUUUUGAAAUUUGAAACUUGGAAUUAAAGAUGAAAAAUAGGUCAAAAAUUCCAAUUAUUGUUGUUAGUGUUUAUUGCUAUAGAACUUAUAUCAUUACCUGUGAAUCUGAAUCAUAAUACAUUUAUUGUUGUCACUGCUGACAUGAUUAAAUUUAUUUAUAUUAUAUUGCUGUCAUGAUAUACUUAUUGUUGCUGUUAUGAUGUUGUUAUGUUAUGCAAAUAAUAGAACACGGUGGGGUGUGAUGUUAAUGCUCUGGCUCUCAAUAGGUAAUCAAAGUCAAAUUCACUUUCCUGAAUCUUUGGACUUUUGUUUUCUUAAAUUCACUUUCCUGAAUCUUUGGACUUCUGUUAUUUUUUUGUUGUCAUUCUAUUUUUGUUUGGCAUGGUCGUGUUUUUUUUGUUUUGUUUUGAAAUUUUUUUGCAUUUUUCUUUCAUAUUUUAUGUUUCUACUUGUUUUUCAUGUUGUUUUGACUUAAUAUUAUUUUUAAAGUAGGUUAUAAAUUAUUUUUAAAGUAGUUUGACAUUGGUUUUUCAUUUUCAAUUGUUAGUGUCAAUAUUACACAAUAUUACAGGCAUUGUAAAAUUUGAUGAAAAUAAAUAUUUUUGAAGGUUUUUAAGAUUCAAUUAAUUUUUUCAUGUUGUUUGAGUAUUAGCAUUCAAAAGAUUUGAAUAUUAUAGAAUGCUUCUACUUAGAACUAGAAACAUUUAUGAUCUAAUCUUUUGUUUCUCUUUGAAGGUUAUUGUAGUGCUUCCUAAAAUAGUCUCUAAGUAAUACUCAAAUUAAAGUCAUCUACCAAUCUUUCUGUUAUAGUUUUAUUUUAAUAAUAUACUAAAUGUUGCAUCUUUUAUUGACAAUCGAUUUAAAUUUAAACUAUAAUUGAGGCUGGUUGUUUGAAUGUCAAUGUCAAAAAAUGUUGCGGAAGCUUUUGAAACUAAAAUACGAGAAAAUGUUUAACUUUUUGAAUUGGUUGUUGAAGUUGAUUUACUUCAAUAAAUGUAAUAUGUAAACUAUUUUUCUCUUAAAUACAAUAACUAUUUUGGUCA